rnacentral:rRNA from 1 species
GGAAUAUUGGUCAAUGGGCGAGAGCCUGAACCAGCCAAGUAGCGUGCAGGACGACGGCCCUAUGGGUUGUAAACUGCUUUUGCGGGGGGAUAACCGGUGCCACGUGUGGUGCCCUGCAUGUACCCCGAGAAUAAGGACCGGCUAAUUCCGUGCCAGCAGCCGCGGUAAUACGGAAGGUCCGGGCGUUAUCCGGAUUUAUUGGGUUUAAAGGGAGCGCAGGCUGAUUGUUAAGCGUGACGUGAGAUGUAGCCGCUCAACGGCUGAACUGCGUCGCGAACUGGCAGUCUUGAGUGAGUACGACGUCAGCGGAAUUCGUGGUGUAGCGGUGAAAUGCUUAGAUAUCACGAAGAACCCCGAUUGCGAAGGCAGCUGACGAGUCCUUUACUGACGCUAAAGCUCGAAGGUGCGGGUAUCGAACA